AGCACAGUGGUUAGUGCAGUCUGCCGGAAACAGAAAGACGCGGGUUCAAUUCCCGU
rfam:Nippostrongylus brasiliensis genome assembly, scaffold: NBR_scaffold0008001